rnacentral:rRNA from 1 species
AUUGAACGCUGGCGGCAGGCCUAACACAUGCAAGUCGAGCGGAGCUGCCGACGGGUGAGUAAUGCCUAGGAAGCUGCCUGGUAGUGGGGGAUAACGUACGGAAACGGGCGCUAAUACCGCAUAAUAUAAGAGGAGCCAAGGUCGGAUUAGCUAGGUGGUGGGGUAAAGGCCUACCAAGGCGACGAUCCGUAACUGGUCUGACAGUGUGAUCAGUCACACUGGAACUGAGCCACGGUCCAGACUCCGACGGGAGGAAGCAGUGGGGAAGAUUGUACAAUGGGCGCAAGCCUGAUCCAGCCAUGCCGCGUGUUGGAAGAAGGUCUUCGGAUUGUAAAGCUCUUUAAGUUGGGAGGCGUUACCAACAGAAUAAGCACCGGCUAACUUCGUGCCAGCCGCCGCGGUAAUAC